AAAUACUGCUAAGUAAUUUCAGCGGUUGAAAGUCCGAUGACUCGUGAAUGUGUCAGCAGAAAUUCCUUGAACAGUUUAGAGAAGAGACGUGUUUUACUUAGUGCAAGAUCUUUAUUGAAUACUUGGAUAUCACGAAUUUAUUGCAUCAAGAAUGACUUUAGAGGAAAUAAAUGAAGCAAAUAGCACAAUGCAGUCUCAAGAAAAGACAUACGUUAAUAUUGGUCGUAUGACCAAAGAAAUUAUAUGGCAAAGCCUGGAACAAGGUCGCCUUUGGUGUGGUGGCUAUGAAUUGGGAAGUUUUCUGAAAAGUAAUCCUGAUGACAUCAUGUUUUGUGUUUUACCUG